rnacentral:rRNA from 1 species
GAUGAACGCUGGCGGCGUGCCUAAUACAUGCAAGUCGAGCGAACAGACGAGGAGCUUGCUCCUCUGACGUUAGCGGCGGACGGGUGAGUAACACGUGGAUAACCUACCUAUAAGACUGGGAUAACUUCGGGAAACCGGAGCUAAUACCGGAUAAUAUAUUGAACCGCAUGGUUCAAUAGUGAAAGACGGUUUUGCUUUCACUUAUAGAUGGAUCCGCGCCGCAUUAGCUAGUUGGUAAGGUAACGGCUUACCAAGGCAACGAUGCGUAGCCGACCUGAGAGGGUGAUCGGCCACACUGGAACUGAGACACGGUCCAGACUCCUAAGGGAGGCAGCAGUAGGGAAUCUUCCGCAAUGGGCGAAAGCCUGACGGAGCAACGCCGCGUGAGUGAUGAAGGUCUUCGGAUCGUAAAACUCUGUUAUUAGGGAAGAACAAAUGUGUAAGUAACUAUGCACGUCUUGACGGUACCUAAUCAGAAAGCCACGGCUAACUACGUG